GAUGAACGCUGGCGGCGUGCUUAACACAUGCAAGUCGAACGAUGAAGCCCAGCUUGCUGGGUGGAAUAGUGGCGAACGGGUGAGUAACACGUGAGUAACCUGCCCUUAACUCUGGGAUAAGCCUGGGAAACUGGGUCUAAUACCGGAUAGGAGCGUCCACCGCAUGGUGGGUGUUGGAAAGAUUUAUCGGUUUUGGAUGGACUCGCGGCCUAUCAGCUUGUUGGUGAGGUAAUGGCUCACCAAGGCGACGACGGGUAGCCGGCCUGAGAGGGUGACCGGCCACACUGGGACUGAGACACGGCCCAGACUCCUACGGGAGGCAGCAGUGGGGAAUAUUGCACAAUGGGCGCAAGCCUGAUGCAGCGACGCCGCGUGAGGGAUGACGGCCUUCGGGUUGUAAACCUCUUUCAGUAGGGAAGAAGCGAAAGUGACGGUACCUGCAGAAGAAGCACCGGCUAACUACGUG
rnacentral:rRNA from 1 species